UUCCAAAGUGUUCAGUACAACUUUGGGUAUCUUACCUGUGUUGUUAAUUAAACUUUGGGACAAAAGAUGUGGGAGACUGGCAUAAUAGUUACGGUAUUUGCCUUACAGACACAA